AACGACUCUCGGCAACGGAUAUCUUGGCUCUCGCAUCGAUGAAGAACGCAGCAAAAUGCGAUACUUGGUGUGAAUUGCAGAAUCCCGUGAAUCAUCGAGUUUUUGAACGCAAGUUGCGCCCGAAGCCUUUCGGCCGAGGGCACGUCUGCCUGGGUGUCACCC
rnacentral:rRNA from 1 species